CCUACGGGAGGCAGCAGUGGGGAAUCUUGCGCAAUGGGCGAAAGCCUGACGCAGCAACGCCGCGUGUGGGACGAAGGCUCUCGGGUUGUAAACCACUUUCAGCAGGAACGAAAUUGACGGUACCUGCAGAAGAAGCACCGGCCAACUACGUGCCAGCAGCCGCGGUAAUACGUAGGGUGCAAGCGUUGUCCGGAUUUAUUGGGCGUAAAGAGCUCGUAGGCGGCUUUGUAAGUCGGGUGUGAAAACCCCAGGCUCAACCUGGGGACGCCACUCGAUACUGCAAUAGCUAGAGUUUGGUAGGGGAUCACGGAAUUCCUGGUGUAGCGGUGAAAUGCGCAGAUAUCAGGAGGAACACCGGUGGCGAAGGCGGUGAUCUGGGCCAAUACUGACGCUGAGGAGCGAAAGCGUGGGGAGCAAACAGGAUUAGAUACCCUGGUAGUCCACGCCGUAAACGUUGGGCACUAGGUGUGGGCCUUUACUACACGACGGUCGUCGCCGCAGCUACGACAGUAAGUACGCCCGCCGUCGGGAGGUACGGUCGGCGACGACGUAAACCUACGAAAGGAAGUUAGACGGCGUGAGACGUGCCGACGGACGACGACGAGGGAGGAGG
rnacentral:rRNA from 1 species